UACGUAGGGGGCGAGCGUUGUCCGGAUUUAUUGGGCGUAAAGAGCUCGUAGGCGGUUCGGUAAGUCAGGUGUAAAAACUCCAGGCUCAACUUGGAGAGGCCACCUGAUACUGCCGUGACUAGAGUCCGGUAGAGGAGCACGGAAUUCCUGGUGUAGCGGUGAAAUGCGCAGAUAUCAGGAGGAACACCAAUGGCGAAGGCAGCUCGCUGGAACGGUACUGACGCUGAGGCGCGAAAGCGUGGGGAGCAAACAGG
rnacentral:rRNA from 1 species